UACGUAGGGUGCGAGCGUUAAUCGGAAUUACUGGGCGUAAAGCGUGCGCAGGCGGUUCUGAAAGUCAGCUGUGAAAGCCCCCGGGCUUAACCUGGGAAUUGCGGUUGAAACUACAGGGCUAGAAUCUGGCAGAGGGGGGUGGAAUUCCACGUGUAGCAGUGAAAUGCGUAGAGAUGUGGAGGAACACCGAUGGCGAAGGCAGCCCCCUGGGCUGAGAUUGACGCUCAGGCACGAAAGCGUGGGGAGCAAACAGG
rnacentral:rRNA from 1 species